UAUGCGGUUUCAUUAAUAUGUUAUUGAAAAACUAAAAGCUGCCUUAGUGACACACAAAAAUAAAACAAGUUAUGUUAAAACUCACAAACAACAAACAAACAGCGUUACAGACGUAUCUGUAUCUGGUGUAAAGUACUGAUUUUUGUGAUUUUUUUUUUUUUUUUUGCUUAGAUGGGUAGACGAGCUCACAGCCACCUGGUGUUAAGUGGUUACUGGAGCCCAUAGACAUCUACAACGUAAAUGCGCCACCCACCUCGAGAUACAAGUUCUAAGGUCUCAAGUAUAGUUACAACGGCUGCCCCACCCUUCGAACCGAAACGCAUUACUGCUUCACGGCGGAAAUAGGCGGGGUGGUGGAACCUACCCGUGCGGACUCACAAGAGGUCCUACCACCAGUGAUCGUUAUUUAUAUACAUGUUAAUUUUAAGCUUGAAUGUUUUGUGUGUAUUGCUGUUGGUGUGUCUAAAUAAAUAAUUAAAUAAAAAACUUGUCGAAACUCCGCAUUAUAAUAAAGCCUUUUAUGUCACACACAAAGAUUAAAACAAUUAAAAUAUUUUGUAUCUCAGGAAUGUGGACAAGAUAGGAUCAUAAUAACAAAUUACAUUAUUAUUUUUGCAACGUUUCGGUCUUUUAUUAGACCUUCAUCGGGCAUCUGAAAAUUACACAUAUUAAUAACCGACAAUAUAAAAAUAACAAUUGUCAACACUACAAUAUUUACCAUAAUAUGAAUUCCAACAAUCACUAUCUUACACUGCACAGUUGCCUUAGUCAUUAUAAAUUAAUACAAAUCUAUAUAUUAAUACGUGAAGCAAAAACUUUGUAUCCCUUUUUAAGAAAAUUGCGCGGACGGAGGAGUAUGAAAUUUUCCACACUUAUAGAGAAUAUAGAGAAGAAGUGCACAAUGCUAAUAUUUUUUUUAAAUAAUGCAUAAAAGAUACAUUAAAUCGAUAAAUGAAACAUUACACACACUACAUACCAUGUAUUUGACGCACACACGCAUGCAUACUAUUUAUUGUCAAACUUUUGUUCUUGACGUCUGUUGUCAAAUUGAGAAUAAAUUUAAAUAUUGUUUGUCUUUGUUAAUAUUUUUUAUAGUGUAGUCUUGGCGAAAUUUGUGAUUAUAGAAGUAUAAAAUACAAUCUUAAUAGUGUACAAACUUACAAUUCCAAUUAAUUAUAGUCGAAUUUUGACUACUGCGGGACUUCUAGUUAGAAGUCGUCGUGGCCUAACGGAUAAGACGUCCGGUGCAUUCGUGUUGAGCGAUGCACCGGUGUUCGAAUCCGGCAGGCGGGUACCAAUUUUUCUAAUGAAAUACGUACUCAACAAAUGUUCACGAUUGACUUCCACGGUGAAGGAAUAACAUCGUGUAAUAAAAAUGAAACCCGCAAAAUUAUAAUUUGCGUAAUUACUGGUGGUAGGACCUCUUGUGAGUCUAUGGGCUCCAGUAACCACUUAACACCAGGUGGGCUGUGAGCUCGUCCAAUCAUCUAAGCAAUAAAAAAAAUAUAAAAAUUUGUAUUCAUUUAUGAUGACUAACGGCCGUUUUCAAUAACCUAUCUAUCCCUAGUUUCGGUUACUAAAGAUAGACAAAUCUAUAUUUUUGUCCUUACUUACGUUCCAAUAACCUAUCGACGGGCAGCAGUUCCUAUCGGAUUUAUUUAUCCAUCGUCGGGAGGACGGAUAGCCUGCUAAAGAUAGAACGCUCAUACAAAUCGUGCUUACUUCUGUUUCAAUAUGAGUUUUAAGUAACUCUCCGGUAGGCGGCGCUAUCUCUAGUAUGGGCAUUCGCUUAUCUGUCAAAAUCGGCCGGUUACAUGUUUAUCUUUCUAAAGUAAAUCGCUAUAAUUUAAUAAUUGUUUCUCUUCAUAUUGGCAUAUUGUAGCAGUGAUGAUAGUGAUAUGGAAUUAUUUCAAAUGAUAAUGGAUUGUGAUGCAGAUAGUGAUAGUGAGGCCGAUAUCAUAUGGUUAGGAAAAUAAAGAUCGUCUGAAUUACAUGGCGAAGAUCAAUAAUUACGAAUUUGACUGUAGAUUUCUGAGCAAAGGUGUUGUGAAUGAAUUGAUUAAUUUAAUGAGACUAUAUUUGAGUGUAACGUCAAAAAGGUAAGAUAAAUUUUAACCAUAAAAGUACUCGUUAUUACAACUUAUAUUUGUUUAUAGCAAUAGCAAAAUUAUACCUAAUUUUUGUUGUGUUACAAAAUCACACUCAACAAGAAUUCUAUAAUACUGCUGGAUUCCCAUGGUGCCCUAAAUGACAUUCAUAUACUAAUACAAUAACCUGGUAGGCUAUUUACCUUCAUUCUUAUUACACACUGAUACCUCUACAUUUUAUAUUUGUGUUACAGAUUCAAAUAUAGGAGAGGAAUUUAGAAAUAGAAAAAGAGUAUUUUGAAUGUGUAAUUUGUGUGCAAUGCAUCAUUGAUGUUUCAAAAUGUUGUUGCUUGAUGGCCUGGGUCUACUCAUGAUACAACUAUAAUUAACCAUUCCGAUUGAAAAGAUGCAUUGGUGUUUGUAAAAGAAGACUCCCUGUAUAUCAUUGAAAAGUAGAUUAAAACUAGAAAAUAUGCAAGCUGUUAUUAUAGCUGCCAUGCUGCAUAAUAUCGUCAGAAGUAUGAAUUUAGAAGAAUUAGAAUCAGAAAUUUCAGUCGCAGAUACAUUACAGGAAAAUAAUAUAAUUGUUCGUAACAAUUUUUCAAAACUUACAUCUGAAAUACAACUAUGUACUUAUAAAUAAUUGCUUCCAAAGAUAAUUUAUAAAAUAAACUCCAAAGAUAA